GACUGACUGACCUUCGACAAAAAAAAUCAACAGAUUGAAAAUUGUGAGUCUGCAAAGCAGCUCUGCUGAUAUCAAUCUUUUAGGAUCUGCAAGGAAACCUCUCUGCUAGAAAGUGCAAACAUGCAGAUACCUGAACUGUUGAUCUCAGUGGGUCUCAAAGAAUUUACUUGUUAAACCAUUUGAUAAAAGUUGCAAAUGGAACAAACCACAGUUCAAAGGCCUACUUGAGCAGCACCUUGAGACUUUUCAGAGACUGGAGGAGGAAAACAAAGUACAGCUGAAAAUGCCAACUUGUAAGACAUUUACAGGAAGACAAACACCUUGAAGCAGCUUUUUAAAAAAUAAUAUUCUGGCUUGCCUCCAGAGAUAAUUAUUCCCAUCUGGGUACCCAAACCUGUGAAAAGGAUACCGUUUCAAUACAUGUAAGCAAAUAUUUGACUGUAGCCCACAGCGUUUUCAAUCACAGCAGUUCAUAAAAUAAGCAGACAAACAUCAAGCCAUUCCAAAUAUUUCCUUAUGCAACAACAAGAUUACAUUUGCAUAGUUACAUUACAUUUCACGUCGGAAGGACGUCCCAAAGCACUAGUUAUGCAAUAACUAGAGGAAGAGACAAAGCAUGAUAACCAGGUAUCUCAUACCCCUUCCAACGGAGAAAGAAAAUCAUAUUUACAGAAAAUUUGUUCCAAUUAAAAAUAAACAAAGACCAUUUCAAUCAAAUGCACGGCCCCAGCAACUUUCCUUUACCAACAAGGAAAUAAGGAUAGGAAUGCACUUGGCCACCCAGGCUGUCAAGUAGUUUUAUUACCGCAAAAUGAAUAAUACUAUUUUUCACAUGUCAUGGUGCAUCGCAUCUGUUUAACUAGGGUACAGUUCAACAUUUCUGGUUAGCACUAAUUGAUAACGACUUGUAAAAAGACUCACUAACCCACUCCAAUUUAAGAAUUAAAUAAUGGCUAUUGAUGGUGUGUAGUUUUAUUUCAGUGCCGUUUUUCAAAAUAAAAAGAUUCAAAAGCCCUAAAUGCUAGAAUGAAUGAAUAUGGGUUUCAAAUUGGAAUUAGAAAUAAAUCUUCAUUGAACAUAUUAAAACUUUCUGUAAAUGCUCGGUUCUUGUCAUGAAUAGUACUGUACUUUUCCCCAGUACAUUCUUGGAUAGGAGAUCCUUCUUUUCUCAUCUACUUUCGCUAACCACAGAUGUAGCUGUUCAUUUUAUCAAUUAAACAAAAUGCAGGGGUGUUGCCCUACCAGUUUCUGUCCAACUCCACUGGUAGCAAAAAUAUGACAAAUUCAAUUAAAAAACACAGAAGCUUCACAAAUUUGACUCCAGCAAUUACUGCGAGAACAAAAUACGUUGGAUAUGAUGCAUCGGUUUACCAUUGGGCCACAGAUUUUCAAGUGUUCUAGCACGUGCUCCAGAAACUUGAAUGUCUUCACACAAGGAGUCUUGUGUGACAAUGACCCACAAUUGACACUUGAAAUCACAAAGUUAUGAAGCUUAAUGUGUGUGUCAGCCACAAACAAUCGGAGCCGGGACACAAGAGGAAGGAGCACUUUUUUCUGGCUCCUUUGAUAUGCUAUUUUGAGUUAUGCGAGAACUUUUGAUACAUCCAAUAAACUUAAUAUAGUGGGUUUACUGUUAGAAUUUACACUUUUUGUAU